rnacentral:rRNA from 1 species
GGUAACCUAGAGUCAGAGUGAGAGCGACUUGAAGGCGAUAGUGUUGCCGGGGACAGAGUACCUGAUCGGAGGUGCCUGGAUUUGCAAGGCAGGCUAACGAUGGAUGGAUGCGGAGGGAAUGGAGUUCCUCCUCGACGCGGUGGACAGAUUUCCCGUACGGGAGGAAUUUGCUGAUAGCCUUGAGCACCCAGAUCCAGUGCCACUCCUCUAUCUGCUGCAAAAGGGGAGUGCAGCAGAAGAUGGCGUUGAGGCCAAUGGUGUGUCUGGGCUGGCUCAAGUGGACGACAAGGGGGUAGCUGCAGACCGACAAGAUGGUGAACAUCGUCCCCGUGCAGAAUCUCAGGCGAGGUCUGCUUAGUCAACUGACAGGGUGAAUCCGCAAGCCCCCGGCUGGACAAAAAGGCUGCGGCUCAGAAGCGCGCCACCGGACUGAGUGCCAUGCCCAUCGAGGAUGAGCGCUCUCGAGAUUUCGAUACGCAAAUAUGCGGAGCAGCCUGACAAGAGCGUCGUGAGGCCUGAGCUGGGGCUCAGUUUCGAUUCGUUAGGCGAGGCGUAUGACUUCUACAACCUAUAUUCAUAGGAAGUCGGGAAUAAGAUAUGGGAAAAGCAGACUCAACGCCAUAUCUGAAAUUGUGGACAAAGAAGUAAUGUUAGAAGCACUGAAUAUUUCGCUUGGCGCUGAGCAAUAACGCGUGUUUUCUGUGCCAUUUACAUUUUCAGGAAGAGGUUUGCAGGGAUGACGGUGAAACUGACUGGGAUUACAUAGAAACUAUGAUGAAUUCAGAAGUAAUUGGAUAUAAGAUUGAUUGGUUGAAGAAGUUCUGGUUCCCAGUUGAUUUUAUGGACUGCUGAUCAAUGUACCUUCUGGACAAGGAUGAAAAGACGGUGAUGGUGCUUGACCCAACCGAGACCGAUGUCAUGGAUGAGAUGAAAAUAAAACACGAGAACCAUGCAAAGAAGUUGCAGCGAAGGUUCUGCUCUCUCUUCAACAACUUUUUCGGCAGCGGGUUGGUUGACACAGAUGGGUGGAAAUUCCUAUACCCAUAGGUGGCGCAGCAUGAACCGUGCAGCAGGGAAGACAGCGGAGUGUACAUCACACACUACUACACUGACUUCACCGGGCUGUACCUCCGCUCAACACUAAGCCAGGACCAGAUUGAUGGUCUGCGCGCAAAGCUCGCCUAUGAAAUUGUGACCAUGAAGGGGAACAAGGGAGACGUUCCAGAGUUCGCGUGUGACGUGAUCAUAGAUUGAUGACCUGAACAUGAGCAUGAAAGUAGGAUCCCUGAAAAGCCCGACUGCUGGCUCCCCAAAUCUUUAGGCUGUCAUCGUGCUAUUAGUAGUUGCGCAAAUGAAGGACUGAGGUUUCAGUUUGCAUCGCUUGAAAAAUCCCCUGGGCGCAGAAAACUGGUUUUAACCAGCGAUUUAUGUGCAUGGGAUGUGACUAAAAGUAUGUAACACCUAAGUAUGACCUUAAGACCUACUAGUAGAAUGCCCGUGCGUUGCCACGGGCUCUUGAAAUAGUUUGCAAGAGUUACAUGUUAAAUUUCACACAUAGAAACAAUAUAAAACAAACACAAUUAUUUAAUAAUUGAAUUCCAUUUUUGCAACACUUGAAUCUGACGUUUUUUGGCAUUGGCGACUGCUAGAUACCAAUAAUAGCCCG